AAGUUUGACUGCUUUGGCUUGCGGACGUGCGUUCACCGUUCCUACGACUACGCCCCCCAAUCGAUAACGACACCGUUCGUUUUCGUUUGCCAAUUCGAACGUAAACCGUUCGCGUUACAAACGUCUAAUCCGUUUCCAGCCGAUUCCUACUAUCCACGACCGUUCCGAAAGACCUGGGAGACGCGCGACCAGGACAACAAAAACAACAACAAACAACAAUGGAAGAAGACCAAAAUGGCGUCGCCGCCGCAGUCGUCGGGCGGCCGCCAAACAGCGAAACCUGCGGAAUGAUCGUCAACCACGGUGGUGGCGGGGACGGGCCGACGGCUACAGCGGCGGCUGCGGCCGCAGCGCCACCGACACCAGCACUCCCAGCGGCGGCGGCAACAGCGUUCGGAGCCCCGGCGCGCCCAGCGCCACGGUACGGCGCCCAUCUCAACUGCAACAAUAACAAUUCGGUCAUCAAAGGGCAGCUAAAGGGUCCCGGUACUCUAGAUCACAGAAAUAGACGUACGCGUCGUGGUAAGCGUAAAAGCAGGAAGCAAACACCAUACAUGAAGGAUGGAAGAUUAUAUCGAGACAAAGCUGUGGCUCCCAACAACACUAAUCAGUUUUUAAUGGAUGAUCAUAAUGAUGGACCAGACAUAGAUAAAAAACUGUUAGCACGGUACAGCAAUGAAAAUGGGCGUACAAGAAAUUCAAGUUACACUAGUGUCGAAUCUGAAGGUGAUCAGUAUUCUUCAUCAUCAGAUGAUGGUACUUCAAUACAAAAGGAGUUUAUCGAUACCUACAGACUUGUUCAAGAAGAAGAAUUGGCGGUGUUAACUAAAAACGAACUCGUUCAGCGAGUGAUCGAGCUUGAAGAAAAAAUACAAAUGCAAGAGUCUAAUAAGAGGUUUAAAAAAAAUACGGUUACAUAUUUAAAUGGCACACCUAAAGAAGAAGAUGAAGAUAAUUCUAUUGAUAUAGAAGAAUAUAGAGCAUUGCAAGUACAGAAUAGAGAAUUGAUAACGCAAAACAAACUGCUGCAAGCCGAAAUUGAUGCUCUUAAACAAAUAAAAAGCAAGAUAAGAAAUAAUGAUUCAGAUAGCUCUAUAGAUAGUGAAAGUUCAUCAGACUCCAGUAGCUCUUCCAGUUCAUCAGAUGGACAAGAAAUAGAAAUGAAGUUCUUAUUACGGAGUACUGCUGGAACAGACGAUUGAUCAGUCAAGUACCAAAAUAAUGUUUAAUGUGAACUGUGAAGUUUGGCAGUGAUCACUGUAAUAUGGAAUUUAGUGAUAACUUGUACCUAACAUAUAACCACCAGAUUAAACAUCUGCAAAAAAAUGACAGCAACUGGUGUAUAUUGACGUCAGAAACAAAUUGUUUGCAGAAUAGACAACAUAGUUGGUACAGAGACAAAUUGUUCUAUUGAUAGUGAAUAGUCUUUAGACUAAGGUUUCAACUAAUGUGUGAUGACUUCAUGAGGCAAAAAACUGUAUUGAUGAUUCUGAAGUUUUUCCAAAGGCCAGAACGUGUGGUCAAAUAUCUCCAGGAAUUCACUAUUACUGAAUACAUAACUAUUAUCUACAGAUAAAUACAUUUUAUUUGUGAAUGAUAAUUAUUUCUCAACCAUACAUCUGAAUUAAAAAAAAAAUAUAUGUAGGAAGUUUUAAAUUUCAACAAUAAGUAUUUUUUUUUUUAACAAGGUUCAUAGUGAUGAAAUCUGAAUUAAAAUGAUUGAAAUUUAUUUUUUAAUUGUAUUACUUAUAUUAUUAUUUAUCAUGUUGUAUUUUUAUUAUUUGACAAAUAUCUCAUAUUAAGUCAACCAAAUUUAUAAUAAAAUCUUACAAUUUUUUUUUUUGUAAGACACAAAAUCACAUUUUUAAUAUUUGCUCUACCACCAAUGAAAACAAUAUGGAGUCAACAAAAUGUAUACUGGCAUUAUUAAGGUAUUGUAAACUGUAAACAUUUACUUAAAUUAUAUACAAAUUGUUAAAUGUUA
rnacentral:misc_RNA from 1 species